rnacentral:rRNA from 1 species
GCUUGCUGGGGGGAUUAGUGGCGAACGGGUGAGUAACACGUGAGUAACCUGCCCUUGACUCUGGGAUAAGCCUGGGAAACUGGGUCUAAUACCGGAUAUGACUCCUCAUCGCAUGGUGGGGGGUGGAAAGCUUUUGUGGUUUUGGAUGGACUCGCGGCCUAUCAGCUUGUUGGUGGGGUAAUGGCCUACCAAGGCGACGACGGGUAGCCGGCCUGAGAGGGUGACCGGCCACACUGGGACUGAGACACGGCCCAGACUCCUACGGGAGGCAGCAGUGGGGAAUAUUGCACAAUGGGCGAAAGCCUGAUGCAGCGACGCCGCGUGAGGGAUGACGGCCUUCGGGUUGUAAACCUCUUUCAGUAGGGAAGAAGCCGCGAGGUGACGGUACCUGCAGAAGAAGCGCCGGCUAACUACGUGCCAGCAGCCGCGGUAAUACGUAGGGCGCAAGCGUUAUCCGGAAUUAUUGGGCGUAAAGAGCUCGUAGGCGGUUUGUCGCGUCUGCUGUGAAAGACCGGGGCUCAACUCCGGUUCUGCAGUGGGUACGGGCAGACUAGAGUGCAGUAGGGGAGACUGGAAUUCCUGGUGUACCGGUGAAAUGCGCAGAUAUCAGGAGGAACACCGAUGGCGAAGGC